CGGACGAUUUCACUGGCGACAAGAAGGAAAAAUUUGUUUUUGGACGAGAUGCGUAACUACAAAAGAAAAACCGACAAAGGAAAAUAUUCUAUUGACAUGUUGGAGAAAGCAGCUGAAGUUGUAAGAGAAGGAAGAUCUGUUAGGCAUGCUGCGAAAACGUACAACAUCUGCCAUGUGACACUUGGGAGGUACAUAAAAAAGAAAAACAAACGUUUAAAUGCAGUCGAUAUUAAUUUUCGAGAGGAGUGGAAACCUUUGGCUGGUUAUUAUGGGAACAGACAGGUAUUUACACCUUUGCAAGAGAUCGCUCUUGUUUCCUACAUAAAAACAUGUUCUGACAUAUAUUUUGGACUCACUCCACGUGAUGUACGUCAUCUUGCAUUCUUAUGUGGGAAGAAGUAUAAUGUUCCCAUGCCAAACACAUGGAGUGACAAAGAACUAGCAGGUGCAGAUUGGCUCUCUUCCUUUUUAAAGCGCCACCCAGACCUUUCCAUUCGGACUCCAGAGGCAACUAGUUUGGGAAGGGCUUCUAGUUUUAAUCGUGCCAACGUUUCCAAAUUUUUUGACAAACUCUCUGAAGUUUAUGAUCGCCAUUCUUUCACAGCUAAUGACAUUUGGAAUGUAGAUGAGACCGGGGUCACUACUGUCCAGAAUCCUUCAAAAAUCGUAGCAAGAAAGGGGGUAAAACAAAUUGGAGCAAUGACAUCAUCUGAACGAGGGCAGUUAGUUACUCUAACUGUAGCAGUAAAUGCUGCUGGAAAUGCUAUCCCUCCUAUGUUUAUU